UGAAGCAGAGCUUGCUCUGUGGAUCAGUGGCGAACGGGUGAGUAACACGUGAGCAAUCUGCCCCUGACUCUGGGAUAAGCGCUGGAAACGGCGUCUAAUACUGGAUACGAGCCGUGAAGGCAUCUUCAACGGUUGGAAAGAUUUUUCGGUCAGGGAUGAGCUCGCGGCCUAUCAGCUUGUUGGUGAGGUAAUGGCUCACCAAGGCGUCGACGGGUAGCCGGCCUGAGAGGGUGACCGGCCACACUGGGACUGAGACACGGCCCAGACUCCUACGGGAGGCAGCAGUGGGGAAUAUUGCACAAUGGGCGCAAGCCUGAUGCAGCAACGCCGCGUGAGGGAUGACGGCCUUCGGGUUGUAAACCUCUUUUAGCAGGGAAGAAGCGAAAGUGACGGUACCUGCAGAAAAAGCGCCGGCUAACUACGUGCCAGCAGCCGCGGUAAUACGUAGGGCGCAAGCGUUAUCCGGAAUUAUUGGGCGUAAAGAGCUCGUAGGCGGUUUGUCGCGUCUGCUGUGAAAUCCCGAGGCUCAACCUCGGGUCUGCAGUGGGUACGGGCAGACUAGAGUGCGGUAGGGGAGAUUGGAAUUCCUGGUGUAGCGGUGGAA
rnacentral:rRNA from 1 species